rnacentral:rRNA from 1 species
CCUACGGGUGGCAGCAGUGAGGAAUAUUGGUCAAUGGACGAGAGUCUGAACCAGCCAAGUAGCGUGAAGGAUGACUGCCCUAUGGGUUGUAAACUUCUUUUAUAUGGGAAUAAAAUGUUCCACGUGUGGGAUUUUGUAUGUACCAUAUGAAUAAGGAUCGGCUAACUCCGUGCCAGCAGCCGCGGUAAUACGGAGGAUCCGAGCGUUAGCCGGAUUUAUUGGGUGUAAAGGGAGCGUAGGUGGAUUGUUAAGUCAGUUGUGAAAGUUUGCGGCUCAACCGUAAAAUUGCAGUUGAAACUGGCAGUCUUGAGUACAGUAGAGGUGGGCGGAAUUCGUGGUGUAGCGGUGAAAUGCUUAGAUAUCACGAAGAACUCCGAUUGCGAAGGCAGUUCACUGGACUGCAACUGACACUGAGGCUCGAAAGUGUGGGUAUCAAACAGGAUUAGAUACCCGAGUAGUC